GCACGGGCCUGGCUCAACCCA
rnacentral:siRNA from 1 species